rnacentral:rRNA from 1 species
AAUGAACGCUGGCGGCAGGCCUAACACAUGCAAGUCGAACGAGGGGCGGACGGGUGAAAAAUGUCUGGGAACCUGCCUGAAGGCGGGGGAUAACUACUGGAAACGGUAGCUAAUACCGCAUACCAUCCGAUGUUCGCAGAUGGGAUUAGCGUGUUGGUGGGGUAACGGCUAACCAAGGCGACGAUCCUUAGCUGGGAUGAGAGGAUGACCAGCCACACUGGAACUGAGACACGGUCCAGACUCCUACGGGAGGCAGCAGUGGUGAAUAUUGCGCAAUGGGCGAAAGCCUGAUUCAGCCAUGCCGCGUGUAUGAAGAAGGCCUUCGGGUUGUAAAGUACUUUCAGCGGGGAGGCGUUACCCGCAGAAGAAGCACCGGCUAACUCCGUGCCAGCCGCCGCGGUAAUAC